rnacentral:rRNA from 1 species
AGCGAACGCUGGCGGCAGGCUUAACACAUGCAAGUCGAGCGGGCGUAGCAAUACGUCAGCGGCAGACGGGUGAGUAACGCGUGGGAACGUACCUUUUGGUUCGGAACAACACAGGGAAACUUGUGCUAAUACCGGAUAAGCCCUUACGGGGAAAGAUUUUAAUCGCCGAAAGAUCGGCCCGCGUCUGAUUAGCUUGUUGGUGAGGUAACGGCUCACCAAGGCGACGAUCAGUAGCUGGUCUGAGAGGAUGAUCAGCCACAUUGGGACUGAGACACGGCCCAAACUCCUACGGGAGGC